CUGCAGAUGUCAUAAUCUAGUUAUAACCAAUUGCUUUUACUCUUCCAUAAUGUCAUAUUUUAAUAAGAAUCACAUUAUGGAAAACCGUCUAAUACUUUCACAUGAGGAACCAUUAUACUUUUAGUACAACCAAUUAUAUUACAUUUGUUUUCUUAUUUUAGACGAACUUUCUUACUUCGGUUGGAGCAGAUGAGAAACAACUUACAGCGGCAAUCUUAAUACAGCUAAUGGCCAAAGAAGUAUGUUUUUCAUACUCAGUGUAUGGAAUGAAACAAAAACGUCCUGCAAGGUGGUUAUAGAGUUG